rnacentral:rRNA from 1 species
AAGGAGUCUAGUAAAUGAGCGAGUCUAAGGUAUUCUCGAAAUACCGUAGGCGUUGUGAAGGCGCUUGUUCGUAAGGCCAUCGUUGCCUUGCGGACGUGUGCCAACUCCAUAGCGAUGAUGAGGGUCUAAACAGCCUUCCGCAAUCGCGAGGUGGUCUCAUUCUCGUUCGUCGGGAGGAGCCAUCCUUUUAGCUUACGUGCUAGUACCCGAAAGAUGGUGAACUAUGCUUGACGAGAGCUGAGUUAGGGGAAACCCUGAUGUAAGCUCGUCAUCGAUUCUGACGUGCAAAUCGAUCGUCUGAGUUACGUAUAGGGGCGAAAGACCAAUCGAACCAUCUAGUAGCUGGUUCCUUCCGAAGUUUCCCUCAGGAUAGCUCGUGUCGCUUUAGCUAGUAACAUGUGGUAAAGCUAAUGACUAGAGGUAUUGGGACCGAAACGGCCUCAACCUAUUCUCAAACUUUCAAUGUGUGUGAGAUCAAACGGCUUACGGUGACGCGUCGCCUUUACGGGCGGCGCUUACGAAGCCGUGCGAACUCGAGACGCUCGACGUCUCGCUAUAAUAACGCGGCACGUAGUGGGCCGAUUUUGGUAAGCAGAAACGGCGAUGUGGGAUGAACCAAAUAUAAAGCUAAAGCGUCAAAGUCAACGCUCAUGG